rnacentral:rRNA from 1 species
UAGGGAAUCUUCGGCAAUGGGGGGAACCCUGACCGAGCAACGCCGCGUGAGUGAAGAAGGUUUUCGGAUCGUAAAGCUCUGUUGUUAAGGAAGAACGAGUGUGAGAAUGGAAAGUUCAUACUGUGACGGUACUUAACCAGAAAGGGACGGCUAACUACGUGCCAGCAGCCGCGGUAAUACGUAGGUCCCGAGCGUUGUCCGGAUUUAUUGGGCGUAAAGCGAGCGCAGGCGGUUAGAUAAGUCUGAAGUUAAAGGCAGUGGCUCAACCAUUGUAGGCUUUGGAAACUGUUUAACUUGAGUGCAGAAUGGGAGAGUGGAAUUCCAUGUGUAGCGGUGAAAUGCGUAGAUAUAUGGAGGAACACCGGUGGCGAAAGCGGCUCUCUGGUCUGUAACUGACGCUGAGGCUCGAAAGCGUGGGGAGCGAACAGG